rnacentral:rRNA from 1 species
CCCAAAGUCAUGGUUAAGUGGGAAACGAUGUGGGANGGCACAGACAGCCAGGAUGUUGGCUUAGAAGCAGCCAUCAUUUAAAGAAAGCGUAAUAGCUCACUGGUCGAGUCGGCCUGCGCGGAAGAUGUAACGGGGCUAAACCAUGCACCGAAGCUGCGGCAGCGACACUAUGUGUUGUUGGGUAGGGGAGCGUUCUGUAAGCCUGCGAAGGUGACCUGUGAGGGUUGCUGGAGGUAUCAGAAGUGCGAAUGCUGACAUAAGUAACGAUAAAGCGGGUGAAAAGCCCGCUCGCCGGAAGACCAAGGGUUCCUGUCCAACGUUAAUCGGGGCAGGGUGAGUCGACCCCUAAGGCGAGGCCGAAAGGCGUAGUCGAUGGGAAACAGGUUAAUAUUCCUGUACUUGGUGUUACUGCGAAGGGGGGACGGAGAAGGCUAUGUUAG